rnacentral:rRNA from 1 species
GACGGAGGAUGCAAGCGUUAUCCGGAAUUAUUGGGCGUAAAGCGUCCGCAGGUGGCUGUUCAAGUCUGCUGUCAAAGCGCAGAGCUUAACUCUGUACAGGCGGUGGAAACUGAAGAGCUAGAGUAUGGUAGGGGUAGAGGGAAUUCCCGGUGUAGCGGUGAAAUGCGUAGAUAUCGGGAAGAACACCAGUGGCGAAAGCGGCCUGCUGGGCAGUAGCUGACACUGAGGCGCGACAGCGUGGGGAGCAAACAGG